UUUUCCUCUUCAUAUAAAUAAGUUGUCUUUGAAAACUGUAUUUAAAUUGUAUAUUCAAUAGACAAUAUAAUGAUUAUGAAGGUGGAGCUGAGAAGGGUGUAGGGACAGGACACACCUGGCAGGACUGAGAAGUGAAUGUUAUUGAGGUUCAUGAUGCAAAAUUCUCAAAUAACCAGUAAAAAUGGGAUUACAUCCGGCUGUAGAAGAUCUACAAGAAGAAGGUAGAGGGAGAGCAGCCUUUGGAUAUCUGCUAUAUUCCAGAAACUGUGACUCAUUUCCCUGCCAACAUGAUGACCACCACUGCUGACCACAUCCUUCCAGAUGAGGCCGUCACAGAGCUGAUGCCAAGAUAUGCUUGCAGACAGUAGCCUGGUAUGGCUGUCUUCCGAGAGGCUCUGCCAGCACGUGACUAAUACAGAUGCAGACACUCAAAGCCUGAGGACCGCAAUGGAUAAGUUAGGGGAAUGGAUGAAGGAGCUGAAGGGGAUUGCAACGCCAUAGGAAGAACAACAGCUUCAAUUAACAGAACACCUCAGAGCUCCCAGGUACUAAACUACCAAGCAAAGAGUAUACAUGGGCCAGACCAUGUCUCCUGC
rnacentral:lncRNA from 1 species